CGGAGAAACAAUAGUGUGGUGGCGGUUGUUAAAAGCCAUCUCAUAUUGGACUGGUUGGCUCUGCAGCAAUAGGUGACGAAAAGAGAUGGCUUCUGUGGAAAAGUGGCAUCUAAGCUGCUCCCAAACUCCCAGUUGGCUGCCACAGCAACAUCAGAUGCCCUACAGCUGAAGAGAGGAGACGUUUGCUUCUGUUUCUGGUCCAUCCCACAUGAUUCCACUCAAAGCAUCUUCUCUGGACAACUCUGCCCCUCUCAGCCAUCUUCAGUCAGCUCCCUUCCCAGGACUAAACAGAAGGGGACACUGCCCUCCCUGCCUGGGCCUGCCUCUCCGGCCCCUCCCCAUGCCCCUAGGGCAUCAACCCAUGCACAUCUCCCCACUAGGCUAAGUCCCAAUGAAGCCUCUUUCAGAUGGAGUGUUGUCUACUCCUGAUUUCUAUCGCUAGUAGAGCAAGCUGAGCUGGUAACACCAAAGGCUGCUGUCACCAGACGUGGUCAGGAGCCAAGCUGGUAACACUGAGGGCGGCGGCAGCUGAUGAGGGGGAGCAACGGAGAAUGGCUGGGAGCUGCCCUCCUGGGUCACCAGAAGAGUUCCUGAGGACUCUCCAUAGCUCCUGGCUCCAGCAGCGAGAGUGGCAGGGGGCUGCUAACACUACGAGCUGAUAGCCGCCGGCAUUCAAAGCUCAGGGAUCUUAACACUAAAAGAGCUACACUUAUUUGUGAUUUCUCUCUGAAGUGAGCAAAAGAACCAUCAGCGAAUCAGUGUCCUGGUAAUCUGGGUGCACAUCUGUCUUCUGAAAGGCCUGUCCUUCCUGACUCUGGGGGGAGGCGUGUGUGAGUGUGGUCAUUCAAGGACAGUGAUUCUCCAACAGAGC
rnacentral:lncRNA from 1 species